rnacentral:lncRNA from 1 species
CUCAGGGGCGGGGCUGUGCGACGCUGGGGGCUGGGACCGUGGGACCGGGCUGCGGCCCCGAAUUUUGUGUCCAGUUGUCGAGCGGUGUCGUGGGAGGGGGCCAGAUUCUGUGUCUCUUAAUGGGUCAGGAACUUGGUCUUCUGGCUCCAUAGGGGAGGAGAGACUUGGAACCCUAAAUUCCAGGAAGCCUGCCCAAUGAGAUUUUGUGGGUUUUUCUGUGGGACGUGGGGACAAAGGAUGUGGAUACUCGUGAAGCCAGAACUGGAAGUCCGGAACACCAGAGUUAUUUACUGGGCAGUGGACUGACCCCAGAAUCUGGGCCCAUAAUCGAUGGAACUGGGAUAGAACUGGAGCCCCUAGGUCCUUUACAGGAGCAAAGGAGGGGCGCAGAAUUCUGUUUACCCAGGACAUAAGAGACUGGCAGCCCAGUUCUUGGGUCCCCCAGUGGGGCGUGCUGCAGCCCCAGGUCCCAGAGUUCUUCAGAAGGGAAGACGUUAGGGAUCUUGUUUCUGGAUUCUCCAACUGGGGCUAGGACCAAGCUUCCUAUAUUCCUAGGAGAGGCGUGGGAUCCCGGAAUCGUGUGUACCCCAGUGGCGGGGGGCCUGGGAAGGUCCAGGAGGCCGAUGCUCCCUGGAGAGCAGGGGAUUGGGAUCUUUGGGGGGUGAGAUGUUGGAGCUAAGUGACUGGAAGAGCAAGAGGAAAGAUGUUUCCCUUUGGGCAUAUUGAGGUCUCCAGGGACGGACUACAGUUUGGGAAUUCCUGGGCACACCUGCCCCAGGUCCGACCUCCGGGCCGAACCAGGGCCCUACCCUUCCCAGCCGCACAUUCCUGCGCCACGCCUGACCUCUCGGGACACACCCAGCCCUGUGGACCCAGACACCGUGGAGGUGCUGAUGACCUUUGAACCCGACCCAGCUGAUCUUGCCCUAUCAAGCAUUCCUGGCCAUGAGACCUUUGACCCUCGAAGACACCGCUUCUCAGAGGAGGAACUUAAGCCCCAGCCAAUCAUGAAGAAGGCGAGGAAAAUCCAGGUGCCAGAGGAGCAGAAGGUGAGCAGAGCUGGAUGUGGGACAUAGGCGUGGCUGGAGACAUGCCCCACAGCCAGGGUGGGGCCUUUUCUCACAUUCAGGCCUGGGCUUCUCACUGGGAUUAGUGCUCAGCCUCUCCUGGCCUGCAGCCACGGAUUAGUUCUUCUUGGCCAUGGGGCACAAGGGGGCAGGAGCCUGAGGUUUAUGAAGAUAGUGUCAGCUGGGCGAGGGGUCUCACUCGUGUAAUCCCAACACUUUGGGGGCUGAGGCAAGAGGGUCGCUUGAGCUCAGGAGUUCAAGACCAGCCUGGGCAACAUGGUGAAACCCCAUUUCUACAAGCUACUUGGGAGGCUGAGGUGGGAGGAUUGCUUGUGCCUGGGAGGUUGAGGCUGCAGUGAGCCAAGAUUGCACCACCGCACUCCAGCCUGGACUACAGAGUGAGACCUUGUCUUAAAACAAAAGACAGUGUCACUGUGGGGUGCUGACUCAGCCAGCUCUGCUAGGCCUACUUGUAGAGACUUGGAACUUCUCCUAUUACUUGGAUCCAGAACCCUCAGUGGGUCAGGUCUCAGGCUCCACCAGGCACAACUGCGAAGGACAGUCUUCCUUGGCAAUGGGAUAUCAGCCUGUGGCCUGUCUCUCCUUACUCAGCAGGCCUUUGAUCUCUGAUGUGGGACUUCCUUUGGAGUGAUUGCCUUUGGCUAGGAUGCAGAUUCGGCCAGCCCCUUUAGGACUUGUUUCCUGGGCCUGGGCUUCUCACUGGUGGGAGGCUUCAGCUUCUGUUAACAGCCAGGGCCACUUUCUGAUUUGGGAUGAUUUGAGCAGUGAUUGCAUCUUUGCAUCCUUUUUUUUUUUUUUUUUUUGGCCAUUACUGGAGUCUUCCCUAGCAAGAGUUGCUUGGGCUUCUGUUACAAGACUUUGUCAUUCCAGGCCAGGCGCGAUGGCUCACGCCUUGUAAUCCCAGCACUUUGGGAGGCCGAGGUGGGCGGAUCACUUGAGGUCAGGAAUUUGAGACCAGCCUGGCCAACAUGGUGAAAUCUCGCCCCUACUAAAAGUACAGACAUUUUCUGGGUGCAGUGUCUCAUGCUUGUAAUCCCAGCACUUUGGGAGGCCGAGGCUGGUGGAUCACGGGAUCAGGAGACCAUCCUGGCAAAGAUGGUGAAACCCCGUCUCUAGGCCGGGCGCGGUGGCUCGAGCCUGUAAUCCCAGCACUUUGGGAGGCCGAGACGGGUGGAUCACAAGGUCAGGAGAUCGAGACCAUCCUGGCUAACACGGUGAAACCCCGUCUCUACUAAAAAAAAUUAAAAAAAAAAAAAAAAGAAAAAGAAACCCCGUCUCUACUAAAAAUACAAAAAUUAGCUGGGCAUGGUGGCACGUGUCUGUAGCCCAGGUACUUGGAAGGCUGAUGUAGGAGAAUCGCUUGAACCUGGGAGAUGGAGGUUGCAGUGAGCCGAGAGAGACUGUGCCACUGCAUUCCAGCCUGGUGAUAGAGCAAGACUCCAUCUCAAAAACAAAAACAAACAGGCCAGGUGUGGUGGCUCAUGCCUGUAAUCCCAGCACUUUGGGAGGCCGAGGCGGGCAGAUCACCAGGUCAGGAGAUGGAGACUAUCCUGGCUAACAUGGUGAAACCCCGUCUCUACUAAAAAUAAAAAAAAUUAGCCAGGUAUGGUGUCGGACACUUGUAAUCCCAGCUACUCGGGAGGCUGAGGCAGGAGAAUGGCGGAGGCGGAGCUUGCAGUGAACUGAGAUUGUGCCAUUGCAUUCCAGCCUGGGCAACAAAGUGAGACACCAUCUCAAAAAAAAAAAAAAAAAAAAUUGGCCGGGCGCGGUGGCUCAAGCCUGUAAUCCCAGCACUUUGGGAGGCCGAGACGGGCGGAUCACGAGGUCAGGAGAUCGAGACCAUCCUGGCUAACACGGUGAAACCCCGUCUCUACUAAAAAAUACAAAAA